rnacentral:lncRNA from 1 species
AAUAAAAACUAGAGAAAAUAUUGUUAUUAAGAAAAAGACAGAAAACACCUUAAAGUAAAAGUCUGAAAUUCUCCAAGAACCCUUACCAAGUUCUUAUCUCCCACAAGCGCAACUCCAUACCCUAUGACCGGCUAAAAACCUUAUUUAUAUUGCAUAAGCAUUCCAAUUAUCCCUAAUAAAAGCCUUAGGGUUUGACUAGGAAACCAAAUAAUAAUAAAAUAAACUAGAAAUAAAAGCUCAA